rnacentral:lncRNA from 1 species
UCUCGUGUAAAAGAAGUUUCAUCAACAUGAGUAUAAUCAUUAGUAUUAAUUCUAAAUCUAGGAGGUGGCAAAUUUUUAGAAUUAGAACUACUUCCUCCUCCCCUAUUAUUUUUUCUUUCCGACAUUGGUCUUUUACCACUAUAUUUUUCAAAAUUCAUGUUCAAGUUUAAAAUAAUUAAUAUUAUGAAAAACAAGCAAAGAUAAUAUAACAAAAAAAUAAAAUAACUUAAUUAAUAAACAAAUAAAAAAUUAAAGUUGGAACGAAUGUACCGAACGUCUACGUAAAAGUAGACGUAUAACCAAAGCCGGAAUUGAGAGAUGCCAAUUGAAGCUUCCGAUUUACUUCAAAUAAAUCUCCGAAAUUCGAACUCCAAGUCAAUAUCACAAAAUAAUAAUUAUGAAUUUAUGAGAGAUUGAAAAUUAAGAGAUUUUAUAAGAUAGUUUGUGAAUUUGUGAUUUAAAUGAAAAAAUAUGAGUAUAUUUAUAGUGUUAAGGGGUAGAGAGGGGUGGGGGGGCUGUUUGGAGCCGUUUUGGGCCCCAGCCCAACGGCUAAAAGGGCCCAACGGCUCCUUAACGUUAAUAUUUAAAAAAAAAAAAAAAAAAAAAAUAAUUAAUUUG